GAUGAACGCUGGCGGCGUGCCUAAUACAUGCAAGUCGAGCGAACAGACGAGGAGCUUGCUCCUCUGACGUUAGCGGCGGACGGGUGAGUAACACGUGGAUAACCUACCUAUAAGACUGGGAUAACUUCGGGAAACCGGAGCUAAUACCGGAUAAUAUAUUGAACCGCAUGGUUCAAUAGUGAAAGACGGCUUUGCUGUCACUUAUAGAUGGAUCCGCGCCGCAUUAGCUAGUUGGUAAGGUAACGGCUUACCAAGGCAACGAUGCGUAGCCGACCUGAGAGGGUGAUCGGCCACACUGGAACUGAGACACGGUCCAGACUCCUACGGGGGGCAGCAGUAGGGAAUCUUCCGCAAUGGGCGAAAGCCUGACGGAGCAACGCCGCGUGAGUGAUGAAGGUCUUCGGAUCGUAAAACUCUGUUAUUAGGGAAGAACAAAUGUGUAAGUAACUAUGCACGUCUUGACGGUACCUAAUCAGAAAGCCACGGCUAACUACGUG
rnacentral:rRNA from 1 species